rnacentral:rRNA from 1 species
AAACGUUUGACACCAGUUAUGCGGGUGGAAAAUCAGUCUUUUGCAAUGGGGAGUUGUGGGCGUUCAGACCGCAAGGCUGGCGUUUGCUUCAUCUCUGUUGUAAGUGAUGCACUUUUUCAUUUGCAGGUCAACAUCAGUUUGCUUUGCUGGACAAAACCCCAAGGGAAGGUGGCAGCUUAGGCUGUGUUAUAGCCCUGGGGCGAUACAGUGGAGUGGACUGAGGUUUCGCAGUGUGUGCUCUCGGGCAAGGCUGACUGGGUGCUAUGGGAUCGUUCGGCGUACAAUGCAUGCAUUUUGCGUCGUGUCUUUUCUAUACUCGCUCAACUCAGCUCUUCCACGCUUAGGAUGUUGACUUAAUGGUUUUAAACGA